GGGCCUGUAGCUCAGCGGUAGAGCGGGCGGCUCAUAACCGCUUGGUCGCAGGUUCGAAUCCUGCCAGGCCCACCA
rnacentral:tRNA from 1 species